AGGACGAACGCUGGCGGCGUGCCUAAUACAUGCAAGUCGAACGGUCUUUCUAUGGAAGCUUGCUUCCACUGAGAAGAUAGUGGCGAACGGGUGAGUAACACGUGGGUAACCUGCCCAUAAGAGGGGGGAUAACAUCCGGAAACGGGUGCUAAUACCGCAUAGUUUUCUUGAUCGCAUGAUCGGGAAAGGAAAGACGGCCUUUGUGCUGUCGCUUAUGGAUGGACCCGCGGCGUAUUAGUUAGUUGGUGAGGUAACGGCUCACCAAGACGAUGAUACGUAGCCGACCUGAGAGGGUGAUCGGCCACAUUGGGACUGAGACACGGCCCAAACUCCUACGGGAGGCAGCAGUAGGGAAUCUUCCGCAAUGGACGAAAGUCUGACGGAGCAACGCCGCGUGAGUGAAGAAAGGUUUUCGGAUCGUAAAACUCUGUUGUCAGAGAAGAACAAGUUGGAGAGUAACUGCUCAGCCUUGACGGUAUCUGACCAGAAAGCCACCGGCUAACUACGUGCCAGCCGCUGC
rnacentral:rRNA from 1 species